AGCGAGCAAGCAAGGAAGCAAGUAUCGGCGCAAGCAACGUUCGGCGUCGACGGGGGAUACGUCAGCCACUUCGCACUGUGCUAAAUCCAGGCUGUGCAGCGCGUCAGUCGCGCCGGGCAAGAGCGAUGUCCGAAGUUGGGGUGCUAUUCCGUGGGUCGAGUGAGAUUGCAGCAUUACACACUGUUCACCAUAUAAUCUCACGCGUAGUGGAGGAGUGCAUGGCGAUCAAUCUAAACGGCGCCCUGGUUCGGUGCUGUGAUCGGAAGGCGGAGGAGGAGCGGGUUGUUUCUGUAGCUGUUUGGCUUUGGGCUUUGGUUUUUUAUGGUGACGGCGAUGGAUGAAGAGAAAGCAAUCGCCGCCACGAGAGAUUGCUUCGUCACCGGCAAGGACAGGACACGCAAAAUUUAUAAACAAUGUGAGCACCGUGCGGGCUUAGUCUGAUAUGUCUCGGGAGAGGCCGGUGCAGGACGCGGGUUAGCGCGCUUGAUUUGCUGCUGCAGACUCCGAGCUGCAAGUCAUUGCAACGUCGCCGUGGUCGUAUUGGUGGUAGUCCUCAUCUUCAUCGUCGUAUUGGUGGUGGUGGUUGUCACUGUGGUAGUAGUAGUGCGUUGGCUUCGUUCAAGGUUCCACGAGGAUGCUCUGAUCAUUGGUUGUUUGCACGGCAAGGACUUGAUAGAUUCAUGGUGUUUUUGAGGUGGCGGAGGCUUGAUCAUCUGGCUGGUUGUAAUCGCAUUCGAGGCGCGAGAGGUUUAGUUGGAGUGUAGGCAGAGGGAGAGAGGUUAUUUGGAUAGUGGUGCUGUCGAUUGCCAAUGAGGAGUUGCGACAGGGAAUAUGUUAGCUGAGGUUUCAGCUACGAAGCUCCUCUUCUGCUGCCGCUCUGUAUGUUUCAGCAACUGGAGGUUUGUUAAGGACCGGGUAAACUGCUAACGUCUUUUGUUGGUGUUUUUGCCAUUUUAGGCUGUGAGGAGAAAAUAGCUGAUGUCUCACGUAGCCAUUUUUAGUCGAGUCGAUCACCAGAUUUGAAACUUCGUUUGCCGUUCUUGUGAGUCACACUGCGGGACUGGCCGCUUCCUACGGAUAUGAGGCAGUGUCAAUCCCUUUUUUUCUUUUAGGGUGGGCUUGUCCGUACAUCACAUCGUAUCCUCUCUUUGCUGGUAUUGCAUGUUGUGUCGCAGAGACACGUUACUGGGCAUGUUAAGAGUGACCGACUUAGUGUGCACGUUUCAGCCCUGGCUACAAUUACUCUUCAGGGGACUGAGUGAUCGUUCUGUGGAACCUCAGGGUACUGAUACAUACUUCAGUGGCAAUUGAAGUGUCUGCGGUGAGUGACGGCACUGAAAUAGUUCUACCAAAAAUUUGUCGUUGUGGAGAGUUGGCAGUUCAGCCUUGGCUUCCGUGAAUUUCAUGGAUUUCUCCAAGACAGCGAAGAAGCAUCGGGCACAGUCUGUCUCAAAAAGGAGAUCUAUCUCCAAGGUCUCGAUUGUGGUCUUUAUCAUCCUUUUCACGACAUGGUUCUGCCCCAGCCCUGAUUCUAUAUUUCAGCAGGAGGAAACUAGUAUUCAGUCAGUCCAGGAUGUUGGACACUCCUCAGAUGCUUGUUAUGGAAGAAGGGUACACAUGUACGACAUGCCAGAGGUCUUCAAUACCAAAAUCCUGGAGUUCUGCGACGGUAAAUUGGUGCAUUGGAUACAUUUUUGCAAUCAUUACAAGAAUUACGGAUUUGGAGAGAUCGUGAACACGACUAAUAGUAUGUUCCGAGACGACUGGUAUGGUACUGACGCAUACAUGUUAGAGGUUAUUAUCUUCGAGAGAAUGAGAUCUUACCCAUGCUUGGCAGACAAGCCCGCUAAUGCAGACAUCUUUUAUAUCCCCUUCUUCGCGGGGCUGGAUGCUCUGCCAUAUCUUUACAACGAUACGAGAAAGAUGGACAAGCAGGGGCACGAGGUUAUUUCCUGGUUGCGUGCUAAUGCGGCAGAGUCUUGGGCGCGUUAUGGUGGUCAGGACCAUUUCAUGAUUGCAGGACGGACAGCCUUUGACUUUGGCAUUCCCACUAUGGAUGAUUGGGGCACUUGCUUGUUAGAUCUAGAGGAGAUGCAGAAUGUGACAUUUAUGGUGUUGGAACGCCGGCCAUGGCGGUCUCUCGAGCAAGCCAUACCUUACCCGGUGGGUUUCCAUCCAUCCAAUGCAGCAAGCUUAAACUCUUGGAUCGAGAGGGUAAGAAAGUCUGCUCGCACCCACUUAUUUUCAUUUACAGGUGCAUUGAGGCCAACUUUGUCCAUUCGGAGGAUGCUGUCAAAUGAGUGCGAAAACGCUGCCACUGAGUGUUCAAGAUUGGAUUGCGCAAAGGUUAGUUGUAGUCACAACCCCGUGCCAAUUUACGAGAGUCUUCUCCGAGCGAAUUUCUGUUUGCAACCGCGUGGUGAUACAGCAACACGUCGAUCAACGAUCGAUUCCAUAGUCUCGGGCUGCAUCCCCGUCCUUUUCCACGAGGAUUCGGCUCAAAAACAAUACAUGUGGCACUUUCCUGAGGACUACAGGACGUUCUCUGUCUUCAUACAUGAAGAUUGCGUCACAAAUGGAACGUGCAUCGUUAGGGAUAUAUUGAAGAAGAUCAAACCGGCCGAAGUGAUUAAGAUGCGUGAGAAGCUCAUCUCCAUGAUACCCAAUGUUUUGUACAGGAACCCGUCAGACGUAAACUUCCCGUAUAUUGACGCGUUUGACUUGACUAUCGAGGGAAUGGUGCGCAAGGCAACUUCGCUCAAGAAAUCUCCACCACUUUCGACGAGCUAGAAACCUCUGCAAUCCAGUUCACCAGAGCGUUUUGUCUCCGAGUGCUACUUCAUUUGAGAGGAUACACUAAGCACUGUCUAAGAACUGGAAGUCUCUGGUACAAAGAGGACUUCAGCCUGAGACGAGCAGCCCCAGGUGGUGUGUGAUCAUUGUGGCUACACGACAGCAUAAUUUCAAACAUUGAUGUUCAUUUACUGCGCGCCUCCUCACCUUGAGCUAGUCCGUGUACUGAGUGUGUGUAAUUAAAGUCGUGUAGGUCAGUCACUGUGCUAAGGCUCUGAUCAUUUCCUGUAUCCCUGAUUUUUACUCAACAACACUGCCACCUGGUGAUGUGGGUACAAUGAUAUAAACCUUUGUGGCACACUUAUCGCUCCUGUCAAAUGCAGCUUCCUUAUUCCUAUGCUUCAAUGUACGGUAGCACAAGUUGUUACCUUAACCACUGAAGGACAAAGAGCAUUUCAACGUU